rnacentral:rRNA from 1 species
AUUGAACGCUGGCGGCAGGCCUAACACAUGCAAGUCGAACGAGUGGCGGACGGGUGAGUAAUGUCUGGGAAACUGCCCGAUGGAGGGGGAUAACUACUGGAAACGGUCGCUAAUACCGCAUACCAUCGGAUGUGCCCAUAUGGGAUUAGCUAGUAGGUGGGGUAACGGCUCACCUAGGCGACGACCCCUAGCUGGUCUGAGAGGAUGACCAGCCACACUGGAACUGAGACACGGUCCAGACUCCUACGGGAGGCAGCAGUGGGGAAUAUUGCACAAUGGGCGAGAGCCUGAUGCAGCCAUGCCGCGUGUAUGAAGAAGCACUUCGGGUUGUAAAGUACUUUCAGCGAGGAGGCGGUACUCGCAGAAGAAGCACCGGCUAACUCCGUGCCAGCAGCCGCGGUAAUUC